GCACCAACCAUUAUCUUGUUCCUGCUGUGUGGUGCUGGGAUAGGAUCAGUUGAGUGCCAGAUAAAAUGUAGAGGAAAUCCAGACAAAGCAUAUUUUGCCUUGUGUUUUGUCUCUACACCUCUGCUACACAA